AACCCUUGACAUGGAAAGUAUGGAUUGUGGAGACACUUUCCAUCAGUUCGGCUGGCUUUCACAC
rnacentral:rRNA from 1 species